ACGAGCCAUGUGAGAUGAAAGUCUCAUGCACGGUUUUGAUUGAGAGAAAGAAGUAGGGAAUUCUCUUUUCAAUGCUAACUCUCU
rnacentral:ncRNA from 1 species